rnacentral:rRNA from 1 species
CUACGGAGGGUGCAAGCGUUACUCGGAAUCACUGGGCGUAAAGCGCGCGCAGGCGGCUAUUUAAGUUGGAUGUGAAAGCCUAUGGCUCAACCAUAGAACUGCAUCCAAAACUAUUUAGCUAGAGUGUGGGAGAGGAAGAUGGAAUUAGUUGUGUAGGGGUAAAAUCCGUAGAGAUAACUAGGAAUACCAAAAGCGAAGGCAAUCUUCUGGAACACUACUGACGCUGAGGCGCGAAAGCGUGGGAGCAAACAGGAUUAGAAACCCCAGUAGUCC